rnacentral:rRNA from 1 species
GUGGGGAAUCUUGCGCAAUGGCCGAAAGGCUGACGCAGCGACGCCGCGUGGAGGAUGACGCCCUUCGGGGUGUAAACUCCUGUUGCCCGGGACGAAUGCCUGGUUUGCCAGGAGUGACGGUACCGGGUGAGGAAGCACCGGCUAACUCUGUGCCAGCAGCCGCGGUAAUACAGAGGGUGCGAGCGUUGUCCGGAAUCACUGGGCGUAAAGGGCGCGUAGGCGGUCGGGUAAGCGUGUGGUGAAAGUCCGGGGCUCAACCCCGGAUCGGCCAUGCGAACUGUCCGACUGGAGCACGGUAGAGGCACAUGGAAUUCCGGGUGUAGCGGUGGAAUGCGUAGAGAUCCGGAAGAACACCGGUGGCGAAGGCGGUGUGCUGGGCCGUAGCUGACGCUGAGGCGCGACAGCGUGGGGAGCAAACAGGAUUAGAAACCCCAGUAGUCC